CCCUUAGAUGUUCUGGGCCGCACGCGCGCUACACUGAGCCCUUCAUCGAGUUUACAACCUUGGCCGGUAGGUCUGGGUAAUCUUCUCAAAGGGGCUCGUGCUGGGGAUAGAUUAUUGUAAUUUUUAAUCUUCAACGAGGAAUUCCUAGUAAACGCAAGUCAACAGCUUGCAUUGAUUACGUCCCUGCCCUUUGUACACACCGCCCGUCGCUACUACCGAUUGAAUGGCUUAGUGAGCCCGAGGGACUGUUGCACCUAGAGGGUUUUCUCUCCAGGAGCAGCCGGGAACUCGGUCAAACUUGAUCAUUUAGGGGAAGUAAAAGUCGUAACA
rnacentral:rRNA from 1 species